CUUAGGAAAUGAUCAGAGGCUCACCUGAACUAUUAUCCAUCCAAAAGUGGGAUUCAAAGAAGGAAGAGGGCCUAGAAAUGAGAAAGAAGCGAAAAAUAUGUUUGUUGAAAGGUCAACAUGGGUGUUUGGAAGAGGUAAUGCUAAUGAGGUAUUCGUAAAAUUGGAGAAUUUCGCUCUUGUCGCACAGCUGGAGUGCAAUGGCAGGCUGGAG
rnacentral:lncRNA from 1 species